UGAGGAAUAUUGGUCAAUGGACGCAAGUCUUAACCAGCCAAGUAGCGUGCAGGAUGACGGCCCUAUGGGUUGUAAACUGCUUUUAUAUGGGGAUAAAGUGGGGAACGUGUUCCCUUUUGCAGGUACCAUAUGAAUAAGGACCGGCUAAUUCCGUGCCAGCAGCCGCGGUAAUACGGAAGGUUCGGGCGUUAUCCGGAUUUAUUGGGUUUAAAGGGAGCGUAGGCCGUUUGGUAAGCGUGUUGUGAAAUGUAGGAGCUCAACUUCUAGAUUGCAGCGCGAACUGUCAGACUUGAGUGCGCACAACGUAGGCGGAAUUCAUGGUGUAGCGGUGAAAUGCUUAGAUAUCAUGACGAACUCCGAUUGCGAAGGCAGCUUACGGGAGCGCAACUGACGCUAAAGCUCGAAGGUGCGGGUAUCGAACAGG
rnacentral:rRNA from 1 species